rnacentral:rRNA from 1 species
CCUACGGGGGGCAGCAGUGGGGAAUAUUGGACAAUGGGGGCAACCCUGAUCCAGCCAUGCCGCGUGUGUGAAGAAGGCCCACGGGUUGUAAAGCACUUUCAGUGAGGAAGAACGCCUGGUGGUUAAUACCCAUCAGGAAAGACAUCACUCACAGAAGAAGCACCGGCUAACUCCGUGCCAGCAGCCGCGGUAAUACGGAGGGUGCGAGCGUUAAUCGGAAUUACUGGGCGUAAAGCGCGCGUAGGUGGCUUGAUAAGCCGGUUGUGAAAGCCCCGGGCUCAACCUGGGAACGGCAUCCGGAACUGUCAAGCUAGAGUGCAGGAGAGGAGGGUAGAAUUCCCGGUGUAGCGGUGAAAUGCGUAGAGAUCGGGAGGAAUACCAGUGGCGAAGGCGGCCUUCUGGACUGACACUGACACUGAGGUGCGAAAGCGUGGGUAGCAAACAGGAUUAGAUACCCCAGUAGUC